rfam:Picea glauca, whole genome shotgun sequence.
UCAUAUGCACAUGCCUACAAUGUUAAUGCACUAGAUCCUAAUAAAGCUUUGCAAUUAAGCGCACUUGGGAUAGAGUAGCACUGGUAUGGGGGACCUCCCAAGAAGUCCUAGUGUUUUACAUGCC